UUACGUAUAUUUGUUAGAUACGCACGUAAGUUCAUCGAAAAUCCCCCUGAUAGCAGAUAUUUGUUUUGAGGCUAGCCAGCUACUGUUCGUCGAUGGCGUUUCUCCCGUGCACCCGUAAGUACAUGUGAAUAAAAAAUCGGGCGCAUGCCGAAUGUUGGUUGCUACCGCAAUGGCUUGGCUAUCAUUCGAGCGAGUUUUGAACGCGCGGCUGCCACAACAGCUCAUAUGUACGCUAAACGUUGAAAAGAGCGAACAUCGGCAAAAAUCUCUCAUAAAAUCAUCUGUCAAAUACCAUAAAACCAGCUAGAAUCGAUAUCCAAACAAAUUUACGAAGGAUAACUGUGUCUAAUUGCACCAAAAAGGAUUGUUUGUGCAUGUAUGCGCAAAAUGGAAGUAUUUCUGUCAUAUAACCGAAAGAAAUUAUAUUGCCAUACGCCACCAUUUUGUCGUCUCAAUUCAUUAGCAAUUGAUUGCACAACAGCAACGUCGUACAACUGUAAAAAAUUCAAUGAUUAUUGGAUUGUUAUUGAAGGCGUCAUUUAAAUAUUUGACAACACUCGACAACGCAUUACUUUUCCAUAUACAUAAAUCCCAACAGAUGGAGGAAAUUGCAGUGAAUGGAGCAACAUUGUCAAAAUAUAAAUUGUGACUCGUUUUAUAUAAACUGGAAUGGCAAUAAUAACAGUGUUCAUAAUCUACUAUUUUUCGUCAUCUUUAUCGUUGUUUGUAAUCCAUUUAAUUCGUUAGUUUUGCAUUUAGUGAUGUGGAUUCUUGUGUUAUUGUUGUGAACAUGUGCAACUUCGUAUACGUAUACUGAAUGUAUCCUGAGUGUAUACUAUCCGGUAUACCUUCAGUAUACGUAACACGAGGCCACACUUACAUCGUUGCUUUUCUUGAA